GGGUGAACGACGUUACUACGCAAUCUACCGGAUGCUCGACCUUUGGAGACUUACUCGCCUGUAGUAGAAGGAGUAAACGUGUUGCUUUGGGUUUUAGGUUUUGUUUGCGUUGUAGGAACGCGCAUGCAAAAAGGAAGUCCUAGGCGGAGGAACAGUGCUACCUAAAUUGGCAUGCAAACGGGAGACUAUGCGAAGCCUCGCAUCCUAUGGGGAAACAAUCACAUCACACAAAACAUAUAUCUUGAAAUAGAAAAAAUGCCACCAAGGGGCUCAAACAUUGCCUCCUAUCGAGGUCUUCCAGCUAAGAAACAGUAGAAAUAAAAGGGAAGAAGUAAAAUACCACACGGAUCAAGAUCCGAAGUUACAGCAAUUAAAGGAUAAGCGACCCUGAGAUUCUCCCAAGCUGAUGCCAUCAAAGAAAACCAAUCAGUACGGGAAAUCGGAAUAAACCUCCGGAGGGUAUCCCUGCGAGAAUAUGUGAGCCCUCACAAAAACUCAACAAAAGGGGUUAGGCAAACAGGAUGAAAUCAAAAGAUAACAAGGCCAUGGCAACACAAAGAACAGGUUAGAACAAAACGGAAUAAAAGCAGAUACUGUCACAUUCGCGACUGCUUCGCCUAGCGAAAGCCUAGCGAAGCUUCGCUGCGUGCUCGCCUAGCGAAGCGGCUAGCGAGCACCUGCGGGAUUUGGAUUUCCCAUUGGUACCUGCACGAUGUUAAAGAUUCCAGAUCCUAUGGCAUUCACCUCAUAAACGAAAUUGUUAAACAGUCAAGGCAUAAAUCACAUAUUCAUACACAAAUAUAACCCUGUGGGCCAAACCUGAGGUUACCUCAUAUAUUCAGUAUUCAAUCCGAGGCAUAGAGUAAUAGGAACAGAGGCAUACCUGAUGAGAGACCUGUUAAAAUUGGAAGACAAGGCCGGAUUGGCGAAGCAACGUUUAGGGUUUGCGUGAGGCGGAAUGAG
rnacentral:lncRNA from 1 species